rnacentral:tRNA from 1 species
GGGGGUGUAGUUCAGUGGUAGAGGAUGAGGUUGAAAUGCACAAGGUCCUGGGUUCAACUCCCAGCACCUCAA